rnacentral:lncRNA from 1 species
UGGAAAAGCCGGUGGAUGGAGGGGACCUCAUGGGGGAGGUGGAAGCCUGCCACGUGAAGGACCGUCUUCUGCGAGAUGAAUGGAAAUAGGCCAACCUUGUCCCUUAAUGCAUGGAGCUACUAAACCAGCUAGGUGCUGGUCAUUUACUGACUCCCAGCAGUUGUAACUUUCUUUGGUGGACUGGAAUUGGUUUGGGCUUUUCAUCAGUCUUGAGAAGAGGAUGGGAAGAAUAUGGGUCCUUCUUCAAGAUGUCAGUUACCUCUUGGACUUUGAGGCCGUUGAAUGACGUUUAAUAAACUGAAUUUUUACAGUACUACUACUGUCUUGGUUUCCUUUAUGUUCACUAGAAGAUGUUAAGAUAGUGGUUAAUGCACUAUCAGAAGGGGUGGGGUUAAUAUGAUAGCCAGCUUUCAGGCCUUUGAAGAUCAGAGGGCAGAUGAGGGGACAUUGCAAAGGUAGAGUUCUGUUCCAGAGCAAUUACUAUACCUGUAAAAUGCAAAGUUGAGGGUGCAACUUAAAGGAUAUAAACACAGUAAGUUUAUGGUGGU